rnacentral:rRNA from 1 species
UACGAAGGGGGCUAGCGUUGCUCGGAAUCACUGGGCGUAAAGCGCACGUAGGCGGGUCGUUAAGUCGGGGGUGAAAUCCUGGAGCUCAACUCCAGAACUGCCUUCGAUACUGGCGAUCUUGAGUCUGGGAGAGGUGAGUGGAACUCCGAGUGUAGAGGUGAAAUUCGUAGAUAUUCGGAAGAACACCAGUGGCGAAGGCGGCUCACUGGCCCGGUACUGACGCUGAGGUGCGAAAGCGUGGGGAGCAAACGGG